GCCAGCAGAACAGGAACUGGACCUGCAGUAGGGGGACAGGGCCUCCGCCCAGCCAUGAGCAUUCCUCGGCAUCAUCCAGGGAUGGGGCAGCCAGCACAGGUGAGAUACAGUGGGCAGGUGGAGGAGGGCACUCUGUUUGCUGAGAGACCUGACUGUGGCCACCAAGAGUCUGCAGUCAGUUACUUCAACAGCCGUGAGCUCCUGGUGACACAGAACAGGGGAGGAAGGAGGGUUUCUUUUUUUUUUUGGGCAGGGGGUGGCACAAGGCCAGUACAGCCUAUUGAGAGACACUCUCUCCUAGAGCCUCCCAGAUUCCAUCCAUGACUCUUCUUUUUUUGUUUGUUUUUCUAGACAGGGUUUCUCUGUGUAGCCCUGAUUGACCUGGAACUCACUCUGUUGACCAGGCUGGCCUUGAACUCAGGGAUCUGCCUGCCUCUGCCUCCCAAGUGCUGAGAUCAAAGACCUGCACUACCAGGUUCAGCUUCUGUCAACUCUUUUUUUUUUAAAAGAUUUAUUUAUUAUUAUAUGUAAGUACACUGUAGCUGUCUUCAGACACACCAGAAGAGGGAGUCAGAUCUCGUUACGGAUGGUUGUGAGCCACCAUAUGGUUGCUGGGAUUUGAACUCUGGACCUUCAGAAGAGCAGUCAGGUGCUCUUACCCACUGAGCCAUCUCACCAGCCCCUUCUGUCAACUCUUGAUGGACAGAAGAUAAAAUCCCAAGGCACUGGCUAACAUGUGGCUCAGAGGUACAGCACCAGGUCCUGCAUUCAGUUCUCAGCAUUGCAGUGUAAUAAAAAUAAAAUGCUAAGAGCUAGAGAGAUGGCUCAGUGGUUAGAGCACUUGUUACCCUUGCAGAGGAUGUAGGUUCAGUUCCCAGCACCCCCACGGUGGCUCACAACCACUGAAAUUCCAGCUCCAAAGGAUUCAAUGCUUUCUUCACACCUCCAAUGACACCAAGCACAAAUGUGCUAUACAUCAAUAUAUUUGGGCAAAACAUUUGAACACAUAAAUCUUUACAAAAAAAAUUUUUAAUCCUAAAAUGGGCCAGUGAUGUGGGUAGGCAGAUAAAGGCACUUGCCACCAGGCCUGACAGCUUGAGUUUGAUCCUCUGGACCCUACGGUGAAAGCAAAAAACCAACUCCUGCAAGUUGUUCACUGACUACCAUAUGCACACUGUGGUUAAUGCUCAUUCACACGCGCACGCACGCACACACGUGCACACACACACAAACAACUGAACGUAAUUUAAAAGAUUAAAUCCCAAGGCGCUGGCAGGCUCCCAACACAGUAGAAGUAUGCACACGAGGACGGGUUAUCUGAAGUUACGUGCUGUCUGUUCAGUCUGCAACUAGACACAGGGUUUCCGAGGGGAGGGCCUGCAGCGGAAGUAAAGGUGUCUAGCCUUCUUUCAUUUAUGCUAAUGUCACUGCACCCAGGAGCAGGUACCAAUGCUUCAAGCCACCAGUAUCUGUUCUUAAAUCUCUGCCAACAGGGCCACGGGGCCUCUGCUCACUUGCCUUCAGAAAGUGAUGUCUAGCAACAAGUGACCUGGGAGUUAGGUGACUAGUUAGGGCCUCUUUUCUCUGGGGAGUCUGAGUGUCCAUUACAUAGGGAGGAAGCUCCUUCCAGGAGCCUAGACUUCUGUUAACAAUAAACAGUCACACACAUCAUCUCGGUCCCAAUUGGCGCCCACUCACACCCAGGCUGCUCCUGUCUUCUCUCCUCCCACUUGGCCACAGAAAGCCAGGAGAGGGACCAACACUAGGAGUGUCAAGCCCCACGGUGUCCCCUGCUCAGUCUAGAGUGAAGCCAGCGCCAACCCAGCUCAGGCCAGCCUGUUUGGAUCUCCCCUGCACCUGUUUAUUAAACAGGUGCCACCAUGAAGUGGUCAGAGCAGCCCGGGCUAGCCCGGCCAGGGAGGGCAAACAAGAAGACAGGCAAGAAACUGGUGUGCCAGUGUGCUGAGAAGAGGACUCGGCUGCCAGAGCCCGGAAGGGAGAACAAUGCCCUGUACUGUUGGCCCCUCACAAACAAAAUCUCAACAGAGAAGGCAGAGGAGGCAUGAGGGUUCUGUGACCCCACUCAGGGCUCCCCUUGACUUCUCUAGGGUCAGAGAGAGUCCUCCUCUCACCCCAGACAAACAAAGAGAGUGGGGAACUCCAGAACACCUCCCUGAUAGUGCUAAGGAAACAAAGAGGCCCACAGAUGGAGACACCCCCUAAGUUCCUCAGCAGCCCUUUCUCUGGCUGCUGCCUGAGCCCCUCCCCUCCACGGUGCUGACCCCUGGCCAGCCCUCCUGAGGGUACCUGCCCCAGCAUCCCCUGCCUCUCUUCCAUCCUUAGUCUAUCCGGCAACAGGAAGCAGCAUGUCAGCCCAGCAGGAGAGAUGUGGGUGAGAGGUCGCCUGAGCCACAGAGCAAGCAGGAGGCCUGACUGUGAGUACCACUGGGCCAGCCCUCUCAUGGAGGUCCCAGCAGCAGCAGCCUCCUGCAGGCAGCCUGUGGGUACUGGCCCCUGUGCUCUGUAAAAGGCCACCAAGUGCCGUCUCAGUCUGAUCCCAUAUUCCACACAUGGCACGUGGCAUUAGGGAGCAGGUGUGCAUCUUGUGGAAGGUCUUGUGGAGCCUGGCUCGAAUGGAGAUUGUCAGAGCCAGAGACUCUGACGGUGAUGUUCUCGUCCCCAUGGGUUAGAGAGGCCAAGAGAACAAAGCUGGGAAAGAGCUGGGCACCACCAGAGGCUCUUCCUAUCGCCUGGUGAGAAUGGGGCUGUCCCUCCGCUCCCUCACAAAGGCAUGGAAAGCCAACCCUAGCAGAUAGGACCUUCAUGAGACACUAAGACAAAAUAGGCCAACAGAUGUCAGGAAGGGAAACCAGGUCAUGAGAGGGUGAGCGUGGUGGGGACAGCCAAGGGUACACUUUGUGAGACAUUCUUAGAGGCUGUGGGUACAAGCUCUUAUCCCCCUCACUGUUUCUUUUGGACUUUUUCUGAAUUCAAAAUAAACUAGGGGUGAGCUAAAUAAAGGUGUAGCUAAGUGGUAGAACCGGCAUGUGUGAAGCCCCGCGUUUAAUCCCUAGCACUGAAAAAAAUAAAUAAACCAACAAACAGGGGGUGGGAGAAGUUAAACCAAGUCCAAGUCCAGGGAAGUGGCUCACAACUGUCAUCACCACAUUCCGGAGGCUGAGGCAGCUCGAGGCCAGCCUGGUCUACACAGCGAGUCCUCCAGAGAGGCCUGGUCUACACAGCGAGUCCUCCAGAGAGACCUGGUCUACACAGUGAGUCCUCCAGAGAGGCCUGGUCUACACAGUGAGUCCUCCAGAGAGUGGUGAGAGUCUUGCUUCUUGCUGUCAGGGACACAAAACCGAGGCCAGAGAAUGCAAACAUUGAGCACUGGUGUCUGAUCCCCAGAACCCAUGGAAAAGCUGUGAGCUCUGAGCUCAGUAAGAGACCCUGCCUCAAUAAAUAAAAAGUGCCCAUGGAGCAGGCGACAGGUGGGGCACACGCCUUUAAUCCCAGCACCAAGAGGCAGAGGCAGGCCGAGUUCGAAGCCAGCCCAGUCUACAGAGCUAGUUCCAGGACAGCCAAGAACACACAGAGAAACCCUAUCUAGGGUGGGGAGGUGGGGAGUGGGGACUAGAGAGUGACUGAAGAAGAAUCCUGGCACCGACUUGCACUUGCACACACACGUCCAUAGAUGUGAGAGCAUUCACAGGCACACACAUAGCAUGGCCCACCUAAGAUCCUGUUCAGAGCUAGGCUGAAGUCUAGCAGGGGCCCUGGAACUUUUUGUCUUCGAUCCUCAGUCCACCCACAUUCACACCCAGCAUGUAGCAAGCCCUCAGCAUUCACAAAAGCCUCUGAGAGGUUCACUGGAUUCUGGCAGCCCUCUGCCUCCUGGGCUUCUUUCAGGCCUUGGGAAUAAAAUCCAGUUUUCCUUGCUGCCCAGCCCUUCCACCUGCACAAUCAUUAGCUCCCUUCUGCGCCAGUCCUUUCUGUCUUCCCCUUUGAGGUGUAGGUGUAUCCCACUCUGGCUCUCUCCCAACACCAGCUCAGCCUUCAUUACCCUCUAAGCUUGUGCCUUAAGUUUAGGGAGGUCGCCGGGCAGUGGUGGCGCAUGCCUUUAAUCCCAGCACUUGGGAGGCAGAGACAGGCGGAUUUCUGAGUUCGAGGCCAGCCUGGUCUACAGAGUGAGUUCCAGGACAGCCAGGGCUACACAGAGAAACCCUGUUUUGGAAAACCAAAAAAAAAAAAAAAAAGUUUAGGGAGGUCUCCCACUUGGGCAACUUGGGCACAACCUGAUCCCCAUGGUUGGUCUUACUUCCCCUCCCAAUUCCAUGCCCCCCACACCACCAGGCUCAAAGAGGCAGAGGCAAGCCGAUCGACACAGCAAAUACCAGGCCAGCUAGAGUUGUAUGAUGAAACCCUGUCUCAAAAACAACAACCCCCAAUCCACCAAAGAACAACAACAACAACAACAAACCAAGGGAAGAGGUCAUGUCAGGUGAAUUCUAUGGUGGUCAUAGAAUAUAGAAGCCAAGGGACUUAGCCUGGGAAAAAACCCCACUCUUCCCAGACUACACACUCAAUUGCCACACCAGAAGGACAAGAGAGGUCUCUAGUUGCCAUUACCAGGAGUGUAUUAUUACACAAAACUCAUUAACUGCCCAGGCCCAGCUCCCGAGCCCCUGCCCUUGAGACAGAAAAAGCAAAGCUGCCGGGCCACAGAGGUAAGGGACUCCUUUCCUCUCUCCACACCACCAAACUGGAACCCACACCACAACGUGUCUGUAGCCCGAUUCUGGCUAGAGUCCCAAACCUUUCAACAGGUUCAGGCAAAUUUCCUUUGGGGAACGAAUUCACACCAUCAAUCUUAAAGACAACAAAAAGCUGUGACAUUCGACUCUCCAUCAGCUGUAUACAGGUCAGCUCUUUAAAGGCCUAAAGCGAUCCACUUAGCCAUGCACCAGGGCUGACGAUGUUGGGCCACACUGCAAACCUUGACCUUAGCUUUACCAGACACUCCCAGUCAAGGAAGCGCAGAGGUUUCUGGCCCCAAAAGUCAACAGGUUCCCGGGACUCCACACAGCCAGGAGGCUGGAGAGAUAAGCUGUGUAGAAUCAGCAGGCCUCCCCAGCUAAGGAUGCUAGGUCAGCGCGUUUGCCAGAUAAUCAGAAAAGCCCAAAUCAGACACAGGAGCAAAGGCACGGCAUAAGAAGUUGAUGUUCAACCCAUGAUCCUGACCCUUUCCCCUUCACUCUGGUUUGUGGGAGUGACCUUCAAGUCUCUCAAGGGCUUAAAUACCAACUCAGCGCUCGGCUGGCGAAAUCCCUGGACUCCCCUCACCCAAAGGAAGGAAGAAGACAGCGUCUCCCCAGGAAAACAGUUUCCAGCCCCAGGGCGCCCAUGCCGUCCGAGAGAUUGUAUAAAAGUGGACAAUCUGAUGUCACCAGUGCCAUGAGUCAGAAAAAAAGAAAAAGAGAAAAAAAAAAAAAAGAAAAAAGAGAAGAGAAGAGAAGAGAAGAGAAGAGAAGAGAAGAGAUAAAAUCUGACCUCAGGAUGAGGUAGUAAAAGCUUUGCCAUAGGCUGAUGUUUUUUUUUUUUUUCUUUCUGUUUUUUUAAAUCCCCAGUGUAUCCUGUAACAAAGGCACAAAAGAGAGCCAACACUCCCACCUGUUCCUUUCAGAGGGGCCUUUAAUCUCCUGACAUCCCAGAAGCAAAAGAGAAAGCUUGGUCAGGGAACAAGGUCUGACUCUCAGUCUCUCAAGAUUUCUUGCUGAUGUGGGGAAAGACCUGCCAAGAAACCUUAGGCUAUUAGGAAACAUUUUUGAGUGCUAAAGGCUAAAGGUUGGUUAUAAAUGAUAGGCUUUCUGCCCUCUCCCAGGUGGCCUUUGGUCUCUCCCUUUCUCCCACCUUUCUCCUCUCCUGCUAAGCUCUGUACACUAAGGAUCCUCUGGGCAGAUCAGAGAAGGGAAGUGAAGACUAACUGACUCGGGUCCAGGCAGUGGGAGCAGGUCCAAGGCUUUCCCUUCCUGCUAAGAAUGAGAGGCUGGGUGAGGCAGUAUAGGCUUGUCAGCCCACCACUUAGGAGAAUGAGAUGGAAUUAUUACAAAUUAAAGGCUAGCCUCAGCUACAUAGCAAGAUCCUUUGUGAAGAACAAAAGACCAAACAACCUUACAGACAAAAAAAUUUUUAGAGCCGGGCAGUGGUGGCGCACACCUUUGAUCCUAGAAUUUAGGAGGCAGAGACAGGCAGAUUUCUGAGUUCGAGGCCAGCCUGGUCUACAGAGUGAGUUCCAGGACAGCCAAGGCUACACAGAGAAACCUUGUCUCAGGGAAAAAAAAAUUCUUGAGAGCCCAGCAAUAAUGGUGCACUUUGAUCCCAGGACUCAAGAGGCAGAGGCAGGUAGAUCCUUGAGUUUGAAGCAAGUUUGGUCUAGGGGUUGAGUUCCAGGACAGACAGGGCUACACAGAGAAACCCUAUUUUGAAAAUAAAAUAAAAUAAAUAGCAAGCCCACUUCUUAGAGAUGACACUCAGGGCGUGGAACCUCUUGCCACCAAGUCUGUCAACCUGAGUUUGACCUCAUAAAUUCACAUAGUGGAAAAAGAGUGUCAACAACCAAAAGCAGUCCUCUGUCAUCGACAGCAGUCCUCUGUCAUCGACAGCAGUCCUCUGUCAGUCAUCCAGUUCUGUGGCCCCCAUAAAUGAAUAAAAAAAUGUAAGAAAAAAUUUAAAGUAAAAAAGUAAAUGAAUAGGACUCUAGAAAUAAAAAAGACAUGCCAGCAGUGACCUACAGAGUCAAGCCUGGGUACGGGGUGGGGCAGAGACAAGAGACAAAGGCAAGAAGCAGUUCUUACCAAGGAUGCCUAAGAAGGGGAGAGGAUGGCAGCUGACUCGGCCCCACUGAUGACCCUACAGCAACCAGGGCAAGCAAUGCUGCAGGCCCUGGAAGACCAGAAGGCCAGCAACGUUCCUGACUGCACGCAGGAGUCUAUUAGUCUAUUAGUCUACAGCUUGGGCAAAUGGAAGACUUGUCCCAGCCUCAGUUUCUCCAUCCACAAACAGGGACGAUGAUAAUGAUACGCACCCAGAGAGCUGGAUGAGGAUCAAAUGGGCUUUUUGGCACUUAGAGGCGCUGUGCAGCAAGCAGGCAUAGCUGGCUUACAUCUUCACCACCAACCGCCCUCUCCCAAAGACCCACUCCAGAAACCUGCCCCCGACCGAGGCGCCCAUCUCACCUGGCUUCGUACACAGGUAGGAGUAAAAGCCCUCGGACUUGAGCAUGAUGAGCAGCGAACCCCAGCCCAGGAGGACUGCGGAGAAAAGGAGGUUUUCCAACACAGCGGUGCAGGCCAUCCACCAGCGGCGCCGAUGGGCAGUGGCCAGGGUGGGCGCCAUGGUGCGGUGUGGCGGUGGUCGGGCUCCGGUUCUGCAGACACCUGCGCGCAGACCUCAGCUUCAGCGGUGGCUCUACCCAACCCGUGUAGCCGCUGGCGCACAGCCUGUCAGUCCCUUGCAGCCCAGGCUAUAGGUGCCCGCCGCAAAAGAAAAGAACCCUAGCCCUGUCAGGGACCUGGGCCACCCCGUACCCGCAGCUACCUGGUAACGCUACCUUAGGCCACAGUGGAGCCCCGCUGGCCAAGAGGAAAGGCUUCUCCCUUAGUUCACUCGGAGGUAAACUGAGGCAUGGCAGCUGGAAAAGGGCUAAUUAUGCUCAAGGACGUGGAGCGGGUCCUGAUCCCAAGCAAGACUGAACAGCCACUUUGGGGGCCGGAAAGGGAGGCAGCUCGUAGUAAGGUCACCUGAGCAGAGGCUCACCUGAGAGCUGCCACUCCCAGGGACCCUGACAGGCUCCCGCCCGCCCGCACUCGAGACCCUUCCUUAGUGCUUGUUCCUUCAACCACAAAAUCAGCACAGGGAGCCCCGAAACGGCCCGCCCACGGCGCUUUCAUUGGCGGGACCGCACAGGAACUGCCGCGCCAUUGGUUAGUGUUUAGGUCGCUAGGCGCUACCGCCACGCGAACCCCGCAUGGGAGAGGCGAAGCCGGUUCAAACCGGCGGCGCGAGCCAACCGCGCGACCCCCGUGUCGGGCUGUUACCCCGGCGAUUAGCCCGUUUCCAUAGAAGCGGAUCCCGUCCCUCUGUCCUCCUGGCCUUUUUCGUUACGUCUCCCUCCCGGUGUCGUCCCUCUGACAAGUAUGCACCUUCCCUCCAACCCCUGCCUGCGAGCGGCUUCAGGUUCUCGCACCCUCGUCUGAGACCCGGAUCCUGGGAGUCCAGCUCACCCGGCUCCUACCAGUGUGUAUCGGGCCCGCCCGGCGCCUUUUCUGUCCCCUUUAUUUCCAGCCCUUUUAUUCCUAUCCUAAGAUGAAAAACACUGCCGCCCGUUGAUUGGCUGAGUGGGGCUGGAAACAGGCGUCGGCCAAUCAGCAGCUACCCACCCGCCCCCCGGCGAGCAGAAGCCGGUUCCGGCCGGACUUGGAGACAAACAAGAGGAAUGGGGGGGCUGGGGGGCGGCUCGGGCAGGCCCAGCUCUACCCAGUUAAACUGGAGUGCCCCUCGACCCGGUGACCGCCGCGGGCAUCGCCCCACGCCCUUCUCGUUGCCCUCUUCCUUGUCAAGUUCAUGGGUCAGCGUUUCAGGGAGUCUUGGUCCACAGCGAGCUGGGCUCCAAGCACCGUGCGGUUCGGCCCGCAGUAUAGACCACCGUUCUCGCCCGGAGAGAACCAGGGCCGGAUGCUCCAACUCCGCAGGCCAUUACCGCCCUUUUGUGCUGUUUCCCGGCCUGCUCCUUGGGCUUUGUGUCCGGGCUCCUCGCUGCCUAGCCCCCGUUGUCCUAUCCAGGCGCUGUCUACGGGUAUCAGAACACCCCGACCCAGGUCGUGGCAUAAUUACCGCAUCCCUGCUAGAUCUCCCGACUCACCGGGUCCUUGCCUGGAAUCAGGUGCCUCCUGCCUGGUCUUUAAUCGGUGUCCCUUAAGGGUCUGUAGUCAGGAUUUUGGACUAAGAGCCCCUGGUCCUCCAGUUGUCGCCAUCCCCAUCCCGCGCCCUCUUUUCUCGGUGCCUUCAGAGACCGGUCAGUGUUCAGGCCGGUCACCUUGGCAUGCCCUGCCCUCCCACUUUCCCAAACGACUCUUUCAUGUGGCUGGCACACUUUCUCGUCCACCCUUCUUCAUGCUGUGAGCAAUCCCGAGCACCUAGUUAGUCUAAGUCUGACUUUGGAGAGCGCGAUAGAUCACUAGGGGUCCAAAGAGCUCCGUCCUUUCUGUAUCAUCAGCGGAGCUGCGCUGCUCUGAGGACCUGCUUGGACGUGGAAUGGAGCCUCAGCACGAAAGAUUUGGCUGUCCGUCCGAGUCUCCCUGACGAGAGGCACUAACCUCCCCUCAGAAAACACUCGGUAUCCCUCAGAUUCUCCACACUUCAAGAGCCGGCUUGCUUUAGAGCUAAGGGUGUCCCCAGCAGCCUGACUCAGCUUCCCUCAGCUCGAGUGCGCCCCCUGGUGCCCAGAACCUUCGCCAGCCAUUCUGCUAGUGCAUGCUCUCCCAGACUUGGUCUAGGCUUGCUGGUGGGUUUGGGGGCCUGAUGACCUACUGUGCAGAAAUCUCAUAAGCUCCAAAUUGGACCUACUAUCUGCCAAUAGAUUAAGCCCUUCAAUCCUUUUCCUAAGCAAUCUGCUUGAGGACCUUCUCCAGACAUAUAUCUAAAAUGUUCCCUCCCCCUCUUCAAAUAAAUAGUGCCCCCUUCUCCCUCA